CUGAGUCCUAAACCUGAAGAAAGUUUAGAGCCUGGGGCUCUAAACUACCUGAGUCUUUCCAAACGACAAGCCAAGAAGACCUGUUGAAAGUUUCCUCUUAAGUUUCGUGGAGAGAGACUCAGGUAUAGAAAUAUCCUUACUGCCACCUGACCUGAAGCAGAAGAAAUCACAGACAGCUUCCAGACCAGGGACACCACUGCCCAAGCUGGAGACCACGAGGAUUCAGGGACUGAAGCCAGCAUGGGAAUUCCUGGUUUGAGAUCAGAGUCCUGAGUACCUCGUGGGAACUUGGGCACUCAUCCGCAGGAGGUCUAGACCCCCAGAGAAUUCCUUGAGUCUAAGGCACAGCUGCCACCCACCGGGAGGGAAGUGAAAUCUCACCUCAACAAGUGAGUCCGCAGAGCGAGAACCGUGCGACAGUGCGUCUGCCAAUACCUGGAAUGUAGGUGUUCGUUGCAGUGUGGCCUUCCCAGCCGGCCUCUCAGCACACCCGGCCAGGCAGCCAGUGUUCCCAGAGGACACGCUGGGGCCAGACGUGGAGGACCCCGGCCACCUCGGGGAGGGAAAGAGACCAAGAAAAGAACCUCUGUAGCCUUGCUUCUGAGAGUGCAGGUUUGUUACAGAGACGGAGCCAAGGCUGGUCUUGAACUCCUGGGCUUAAGCGAUCCUGCUCCCUGGGCCUCCCAAAGUGCUGGGAUUACAGGCGUGAGCCACUGGGUCCGGCAUCUACAUUUGUUAAAUACAUUAAAACCCUCUUAAUCCUUUGU
rnacentral:lncRNA from 1 species